rnacentral:rRNA from 1 species
UUUAUGGAGAGUUUGAUCCUGGCUCAGGACGAACGCUGGCGGCGUGCCUAAUACAUGCAAGUCGAGCGGACUAAUGGGAGCUUG